UAAUUCCUGGGGUGUUCGACCCUCUUACUUCAUUUGAACCUACAGUAUGACGUAAGGGAUUCCAAUAUUUUCAGGUGGAUGUCAGGCCUCCAUUAUGAGUGGAAGGCAGAAGCCUGAGUGAGGUUGCCCACCUAGCUUGGCUAGGAGUCAAACAGUAAGAGACGGCAUUUUGGGAUUAC
rnacentral:other from 1 species